rnacentral:tRNA from 1 species
CUAGAUAGACGGGCCUUGAUCCCGUAAAAUUUUAGUUAACAGCUAAACACCCAAUCCAGCGGGCCUCUAUCCGCGUCUUCUUCUAUUUAGAAGAAGA